UACAGAGGUCUCAAGCGUUGUUCGGAUUCAUUGGGCGUAAAGGGCGCGUAGGCGGCGGGGUAAGUCUGGUGUGAAAUCUCGGAGCUCAACUCCGAAAUUGCACUGGAUACUGCUCUGCUAGAGGGCUGGAGAGGAGAUCGGAAUUCACGGUGUAGCAGUGAAAUGCGUAGAUAUCGUGAGGAAGACCAGUGGCGAAGGCGGAUCUCUGGACAGCUCCUGACGCUGAGGCGCGAAGGCUAGGGGAGCAAAGCGGG
rnacentral:rRNA from 1 species